rnacentral:misc_RNA from 1 species
UGCUUCAGGGCAUCACAGAUCGCUAUCGUCCCCUCAUCUUCCAAAUUCAGAUAGCUCAGUAGGAUUUCAGUGAGACCGGUGAGCUUUCCAAAAGUUCUGCUCAAGGCUAGUCCGACGGCAACCCCAAAUAUGUUAUCCCGAAGAUCAAGCUUCUUCAAGUAGACACAAGUCUCCAAUGCUUCGGCCAAAGGGACACCCCCCUCAGACCCAACCCUAGUCGAUGAGCAUCGAAAAUCCUCCAGUAUAGGUGACCUCUUGACGAUAUCAG